GAUGAACGCUGGCGGCGUGCCUAACACAUGCAAGUCGAACGGAAGAUUUACGCUGACGAGACUUCGGUCAAAUCUUGUGAAUCUUUAGUGGCGGACGGGUGAGUAACGCGUGGGCAACCUGCCUUACACAGGGGGAUAACACUUAGAAAUAGGUGCUAAUACCGCAUAAGCGCACAGCUUCGCAUGAAGCAGUGUGAAAAACUCCGGUGGUGUAAGAUGGACCCGCGUCUGAUUAGCUAGUUGGUGAGGUAAAGGCUCACCAAGGCGACGAUCAGUAGCCGGCCUGAGAGGGUGAACGGCCACAUUGGGACUGAGACACGGCCCAAAUCCUACGGGAGGCAGCAGUGGGGAAUAUUGCACAAUGGGGGAAACCCUGAUGCAGCGACGCCGCGUGAGUGAAGAAGUAUUUCGGUAUGUAAAGCUCUAUCAGCAGGGAAGAAAAUGACGGUACCUGACUAAGAAGCCCCGGCUAACUACGUGCCAGCAGCCG
rnacentral:rRNA from 1 species